rnacentral:SRP_RNA from 11 species
CGGGGUAGUUCACCAUCCCCGUUGGUUGGAGCGAGAAGACGGCGAUUGCUGAAGUGCCCGGUCCAGGGAUGUAGUUGCUUGUCGCGGGGCCCACCCG